GAUGAACGCUGGCGGCGUGCCUAAUACAUGCAAGUCGAACGCGAGAGGAGGGAGCUUGCUCCCUCUGAUCGAGUGGCGGACGGGUGAGUAACACGUAGGCAACCUGCCCAUCAGCCGGGGAUAACUGCGGGAAACCGUGGCUAAUACCGGAUAAUCCUCUCCACCGCGGGGUGGGGAGUUGAAAGACGGUUUCGGCUGUCGCUGAUGGAUGGGCCUGCGGCGCAUUAGCUGGUUGGCGGGGUAACGGCCCACCAAGGCAACGGUGCGUAGCCGCCCUGAGAGGGUGAUCGGCCACACUGGGACUGAGACAAGGCACAGACUCCUACGGGAGGCAGCAGUAGGGAAUCUUCCGCAAUGGACGAAAGUCUGACGGAGCAACGACGCGUGAGUGAUGAAGGCUUUCGGGUCGUAAAACUCUGUUGUUAGGGAAGAACAAGUGCUAGUUGAAUAAGCUGGCACCUUGACGGUACCUAACCAGAAAGCCACGGCUAACUACGUGCCAGCAGCCGCAGUAA
rnacentral:rRNA from 1 species